GAAAUGACAUUUCCUUUUUAAAUAGCUGGAGCCGGGGCCCCAUCGAGAAAUGGCCGCGUCGGCAGAUUUAAGUAAGUCUUCCCCAACACCGAAUGGGAUUCCAUCUUCAGACCCAGCCAGCGAUGCCAUGGACCCCUUCCAUGCUUGCAGUAUUCUUAAGCAACUCAAAACAAUGUACGAUGAAGGACAGUUGACAGACAUUGUAGUGGAAGUGGAUCACGGGAAAACAUUUUCCUGUCAUAGAAACGUUCUUGCUGCAAUCAGCCCUUACUUCAGUUGACAAAAGACCAACUGAUAAGUAUACUAGACAGUGACGAUUUAAAUGUAGACCGAGAAGAGCAUGUUUAUGAAAGCAUUAUAAGGUGGUUUGAGCAUGAACAGAAUGAAAGAGAAGUGCACCUUCCAGAAAUUUUUGCUAAAUGCAUACGUUUUCCUCUGAUGGAAGAUACCUUUAUAGAGAAAAUUCCACCUCAGUUUGCACAGGCUAUAGCCAAAAGCUGUGUAGAAAAGGGACCAUCCAACACCAAUGGCUGUACACAGAGGCUUGGAAUGACUGCUUCUGAAAUG
rnacentral:sRNA from 1 species